UACGAAGGGGGCUAGCGUUGCUCGGAAUUACUGGGCGUAAAGAGCGCGCAGGCGGUCGUUCAAGUCGAGUGUGAAAGCCCCCGGCUCAACUGGGGAGGGUCACUCGAUACUGAUCGACUCGAAGGCAGGAGAGGGAAGUGGAAUUCCCGGUGUAGUGGUGAAAUGCGUAGAUAUCGGGAGGAACACCAGUGGCGAAGGCGACUUCCUGGCCUGUUCUUGACGCUGAGGAGCGAAAGCCAGGGGAGCAAACGGG
rnacentral:rRNA from 1 species